UACGUAGGGACCAAGCGUUGUUCGGAUUUACUGGGCGUAAAGGGCGCGUAGGCGGCUUAACAAGUCACUUGUGAAAUCUCCGGGCUUAACUCGGAACGGCCAAGUGAAACUGUCAAGCUAGAGUGCAGAAGGGGCAAUCGGAAUUCUUGGUGUAGCGGUGAAAUGCGUAGAUAUCAAGAGGAACACCUGAAGUGAAGACGGGUUGCUGGGCUGACACUGACGCUGAGGCGCGAAAGCCAGGGGAGCAAACGGG
rnacentral:rRNA from 1 species